GGUUAUGAGCAUGACCGCUGGUGCUAAUGUCAUCCACAAGGUUCGAGGGAUCAUUUUUGACCUGCAACAAGAUCUUAUCACACUCACUAUUUCAGAAGAAAAAUGAAACAUUAGAAUCGCUCAUCUAAGAGGGAGAAUAUGAGGCAGUCCUAUGCUUCAGCAUUUUUUUUGGAUGGAGUGGCUGCCUCCUUCCAAGCUCAAAUAUUAAACCAAGUUAUCAUGGGUUUCAAAAAUCAUGGAACUGGACCCCAUGGUAUGAUUCUCGAGAAACUCCAAUCAAACACAAAAGCAAAACCCUAGUCUUGUCUGGAAAACUAUCCAUGUUAAUCAAUCUUAAAUGGGCAGCCCAGAAAAGAAAGACAACAAACAAACAAAUAAAUAGGCAGUGAUAAAGAAUAGUAGAAAAGAGACAGAUAUUAAGCAGUCAUCACCCUGCAAUUUCAGUGAUCAAAUUUGGAAAACCCAUCAAGCUCUAAAUCCCAGGCAAUCAAGAUUAUAUGUUUUGUGCAGUGUAG